CAAAGGGAGAAGAGCAAGGAGGGAAAGGCAGUGCCAACUUGCAGAUUUGUAAAAGAGGCUUUUAAGCUCUCUAGAGGGGUAACUUGCAACUGCUAAAUAUACUUCAGGAGAAAUACAGCCAGAUCAUUUCUUUCCUCAGCCUCGCUACAACUCUUUGUGUUUUUCCUCUUGAGAGGGGACAGGGAUGCAGCAUCGGCAGGGAGGAACAAUGGGUUUGGUCUAUUUGCUAUUAACUCCACCACAUGCCUAAUCAAGGAUGUUUCCAGUUCUCCUGUCUCAAUCCAUAGGGAAAAAGAAUUGAGAGGGAAAGAUGUGGAAAAGGAAAAAUGAAGGGUUUCUGUGCGUGCAGAGGAAGAUAUUUUGACAGGAUGCGUGAUGGUGACUAAGAAAAGAGGGGAACAGGCAAGUGUUAAAUGAGUUUGUGUUCCUGGCUGCUGAGUAACCCCAGGAGGUUCCCAGCAAGGCUGCCGCUUUUUUAUUGGAGUUUUGUGCCGGAGUUAUAAACCCUUUAAAUGAGCCUAGAUCAUUAGGGAAGCUUGGCUGAUCACUGAUGAAAAAAUAUAACAAUUAAAACAAAGGGCUGGAAGAGGGAAGCAGAGGGAGAAGGAGCUGGGGGUGAGCAGUUUUAAUACUUAAUAACAAAUACUAAUAAUGGUGCUGAAUUGGGGACUAAUUAAAAGUUUCUAAAAAGAGAGAGGAAGAGAGUGGGAUUAAUCUGGAGUGUUUUGUCUGACAGCUUCUGUGAGUGCCUGAAAUGCUACCCUGGCAAGGAAGAUGAGACACAAUGCUGGGGGCCAAGCAAAGCUCUGAAGAGAGUGGAUCUGAGCUGUGGUGGAGCCCGGCUCCACCUGCUCUUCUGAGCUCUGUGUUUUGGUGUCUGCCCCGUAUUUCAGGAUUACCAAUGGUCAUUCUCCCACAUGGAGCAAAGGAGCUGGGGAAGAGGAACAAAGAAAUGAGUUUGAAGGGUGGAGAGAGUAAAAUUCUUCUGUGAAAAAGAGAAGAAGAGCAAAUAGACCUGGGUGGCAGCAGCAUGGAUCUGAGAAUUGUGAUGUAGUGACAACCACAGCCAUGGCAGGAGCCAAGGAAACAGCACCAGGAAAGACCAGAGGUGGCAACAACUCAAGGAGCCACUGCCAUGUAGCUUUGCAGGGCUUGGAAGAGCAUUCAGAGGAAGAACUGCUGCAUGCUCUCCCUCUGGCUGUGCUGCUCUCAGCUGGAGACACCGUGGCAGAUCAGAUGGUUUUCCUUGGCUGUUCCGCCACCAUUCCUUCUACCAGUGCUGUGUCCCAGUGCACCUUUAACCCCGCAGAGAUUAAUGCUCCCAAAAGCAAUAUUCCCACAGUUCAGCAGCUGCCUGAGGAACAGUUCAGCCUGGAGGAACAUUUUUUGUGGGUCAUCUCAGCUAAAUGCUUGCAGACACCACCACUGCCACCUCCCAUGCUUCAUCCUUGUGGAGAAAGGACCUGGCUGUGGGGAAUGCCAGCCUCAGACACCAUGCUCCUGCCAGCAUGAGCUCCUUCUACUUCCUCAUCAGUGCAGGCGACUCUAAGUUUUAAUUAUUAUUGCUUUUUGCUGUUCUUAGUCUUAAUUAAGUCUGACUUGCUGACUGUUUCAAGGGAGUUGAUGUCUGGGAAACACCUUCCUGCCUUGAGUUUUGGAUUGUGGAAGGAGAGAUAUGGAACCCAGUGCCACUGGAUCAGCAAGGCAGCAGAAAUGCAACAUCACAGAGACUGGAGGUGCUGUGGGACUGGGCCAAAGCUCAGUUAAAAUGGGACAAUCCACCUAGGAAUGAACAUAGAGAAGGAAAGCCACAGGGAUGUGUGCCUGGCAGGUAGAACAGCUUUCCCAGAAAAUUCCUCUGUAUUAAUCUACUUGGAUUUGACUUAGAAUCAGAGAUUGAUUAAAGUUGGAAAGGACCU